GGCGAAGAGGUCACGGAAAGAGAUCGGCCUCCCGGGGCUGGUGGACUUCAUAAUUAACACGUUCCUCCAUCCUUUGGAAGCUCUGCGGAGCUUUGGCAGAUCAAAGCUGGGGAAACGGGCUCCCUCACACUGGAAGUUUUCCAUCUCCACAUCCGGCCAAAGAACCACACGCCACAAAUGACAAUGUAUGUGUGGGUGUAUGAAUGUUUACAAAGAGCGAAGCAGCUAAAGACGACGGGGAGACACAGACAACUCGGUGGAAAGUAUUGCUGCUGUUGCAUGUUUGACACUCUGUCUCUGAUGGUGGAUGAUUCGCGGGAAUCUGUCCCCCGGGGAGCUGAACCCACAUAAAGCCCGUCUCCCUCACUCCUCCCUCCUGCACAGAGCCUCUCGGGCAGCAGAAGCCACUCGGUGUGCCAGAGACGUGCCAGCGUGCGAUCGCUGUGUGAGAAAUGGAUUUGGAAUAUUUGGAAUCAGAAGAGGCUUCUAGGCGGAGUAAUGCCCGAUAACACUGUCACUAAAAGUCGAAAAUGUCCCGCUGGGGGAGAAGCUGAUCUCCUGUGCGGAGGGUACGAGAUGGCGUCGCUUCAGGAGUUCUCCGCACGGGAAAAUAUCCUCUUGCCUUUUUCCAAGUGGUGCACAGCGCGUGGACGGGAACCUCUGGGUGUGUAUCGUAGCGUCGCUCUAUGAUCACACAAGGAGCCCUGUGGAACUGUAC
ensembl:lncRNA